GAUGAACGCUAGCGGGAGGCCUAACACAUGCAAGCCGAGCGGUAGAGUUUCUUCGGAAACUUGAGAGCGGCGCACGGGUGCGUAACACGUGUGCAACCUACCUUUAUCUGGGGGAUAGCCUUUCGAAAGGAAGAUUAAUACCCCAUAAUAUAAUGAUUGGCAUCAAUUAUUAUUGAAAACUCCGGUGGAUAGAGAUGGGCACGCGCAAGAUUAGAUAGUUGGUGAGGUAACGGCUCACCAAGUCAAUGAUCUUUAGGGGUCCUGAGAGGGAGAUCCCCCACACUGGUACUGAGACACGGACCAGACUCCUACGGGAGGCAGCAGUGAGGAAUAUUGGACAAUGGGUGAGAGCCUGAUCCAGCCAUCCCGCGUGAAGGAGGACGGUCCUAUGGAUUGUAAACUUCUUUUGUACAGGGAUAAACCUACCCUCGGGAGGGUAGCUGAAGGUACUGUACGAAUAAGCACCGGCUAACUCCGUG
rnacentral:rRNA from 1 species